AUGGGCGCAAGCCUGAUGCAGCCAUGCCGCGUGUGUGAAGAAGGCCUUCGGGUUGUAAAGCACUUUCAGUCAGGAGGAAAGGUUAGUAGUUAAUACCUGCUAGCUGUGACGUUACUGACAGAAGAAGCACCGGCUAACUCCGUGCCAGCAGCCGCGGUAAUACGGAGGGUGCGAGCGUUAAUCGGAAUUACUGGGCGUAAAGCGUACGCAGGCGGUUUGUUAAGCGAGAUGUGAAAGCCCCGGGCUUAACCUGGGAACUGCAUUUCGAACUGGCAAACUAGAGUGUGAUAGAGGGUGGUAGAAUUUCAGGUGUAGCGGUGAAAUGCGUAGAGAUCUGAAGGAAUACCGAUGGCGAAGGCAGCCACCUGGGUCAACACUGACGCUCAUGUACGAAAGCGUGGGGAGCAAACAGGAUUAGAUACCCUGGUAGUCCACGCCGUAAACGAUGUCUACUAGGAGCUGGGGUCUUCGGACAACUUUUCCAAAGCUAACGCAUUAAGUAGACCGCCUGG
rnacentral:rRNA from 1 species